GCCCGAGUUAAACGCCAGCAGAGAGGAAUCGUGAUGUCUGUGGAUUUAACUUUUGCAGCACAGACUCUGAUGACUGCUUACGGUCCAUUGACAGGCUCUGUGAUUUUGCUGAAGAAUUUGGAUUGCACCCACUGUGGGCCUGGAGUGCGGAUGCAAGGUGGUUAGCAGGUGAAUGAGCCCGGUUAGCCCCCAGCACUGAAACGCAAUGUCUACACCCAACAUGGGGCUUGAACUCACAACCCUGAGAUCAAGAGGUGCAUCCGCUAUCGGUGAGCCAACCAUGCGCCCUAGCUUCAUCUUUCUCCAGCGGUAAGAGUUAUGAUUCAUCCUCGCACACCAACUGUUUUUCAAUCAGGAAAAAUUUCCUGUACAACCAUGGAAACAGUGCAAUAGGUUAAUACCAGAAGAAUCUUCAGUCAGCACAUAUUCGAAGAUAGGACCUAAAGGCUUCUUUGGUCAUGCAAUAGCUAGGAAUAACACUCUUCUUGGGAAAAUGUAACAGGGAAAGUUAACUUUAUUAUUAUGUAAUUAUCAUAUAUGAUUAUUAUAAUAUAUACUAAAGGAAAUACAGAGAAUACACUUCAAAUUCCCAAUGCUCUUAUACUUGUAAACAUUUAAAGGAACUUCUUUACAUAGUAAUAAAAGACACUUUAAUAUCAACUUUACCAAUAAAGUUUUACCAGUCAAUG